AGGGCUCAGAAAAAUGGUUUGAAGCCAACACUUCUUUAGAACAGCAGUUCCCAACCUCGGGUCGUGACCCAAACGAGGGUCCCGGGCGCAAUGCCGGUGGUG